rnacentral:rRNA from 1 species
GACGAACGCUGGCGGCGUGCCUAAUACAUGCAAGUUGAGCGCUGAAGGUUGGUACUUGUACCAACUGGAUGAGCAGCGCACGGGUGAGUAACGCGUGGGGAAUCUGCCUUUGAGCGGGGGACAACAUUUGGAAACGAAUGCUAAUACCGCAUAAAAACUUUAAACACAAGUUUUAAGUUUGAAAGAUGCAAUUGCAUCACUCAAAGAUGAUCCCGCGUUGUAUUAGCUAGUUGGUGAGGUAAAGGCUCACCAAGGCGAUGAUACAUAGCCGACCUGAGAGGGUGAUCGGCCAAAUUGGGACUGAGACACGGCCCAAACCCCUACGGGAGGCAGCAGUAGGGAAUCUUCGGCAAUGGACGAAAGUCUGAACGAGCAACGCCGCGUGAGUGAAGAAGGGUUUCGGAUCGUAAAACUCUGUUGGUAGAGAAGAACGUUGGUGAGAGCGGAAAGCUCAUCAAGUGACGGUAACUACCCAGAAAGGGACGGCUAACUACGUG